rnacentral:rRNA from 1 species
GAUGAACGCAGCGGCAGGCCUAACACAUGCAAGUCGAGGGGUAGCAUAGAAAAGCUUGCUUUUCUGAUGACGACCGGCGCACGGGUGCGUAACGCGUAUACAACCUACCUUUUAGCGGGGAAUAGCCCAGGGAAACUUGGAUUAAUGCCCCAUAGUAUAUAGACUUCUCCUGAAGUUUAUAUUAAACAUUUAUGGCUAUUAGAUGGGUAUGCGUCCUAUUAGUUAGUUGGUAAGGUAACGGCUUACCAAGGCAGCGAUAGGUAGGGGUCCUGAGAGGGAGAUCCCCACACUGGUACUGAGACACGGACCAGACUCCUACGGGAGGCAGCAGUGAGGAAUAUUGGACAAUGGGCGAGAGCCUGAUCCAGCCAUGCCGCGUGCAGGAAGACUGCCCUAUGGGUUGUAAACUGCUUUUACAGAGGAAGAACCACCCCCACGUGUGGGGGUUUGACGGUACUCUGCGAAUAAGGAUCGGCUAACUCCGUG